GAUGAACGCUGGCGGCGUGCUUAACACAUGCAAGUCGAACGGUGAAGCAGGAGCUUGCUCUUGUGGAUCAGUGGCGAACGGGUGAGUAACACGUGAGCAACCUGCCCCUGACUCUGGGAUAAGCGCUGGAAACGGCGUCUAAUACUGGAUAUGUGAUGUGACCGCAUGGUCUGCUUCUGGAAAGAAUUUCGGUUGGGGAUGGGCUCGCGGCCUGUCAGCUUGUUGGUGAGGUAAUGGCUCACCAAGGCGUCGACGGGUAGCCGGCCUGAGAGGGUGACCGGCCACACUGGGACUGAGACACGGCCCAGACUCCUACGGGAGGCAGCAGUGGGGAAUAUUGCACAAUGGGCGGAAGCCUGAUGCGGCAACGCCGCGUGAGGGAUGACGGCCUUCGGGUUGUAAACCUCUUUUAGCAGGGAAGAAGCGAAAGUGACGGUACCUGCAGAAAAAGCACCGGCUAACUACGUGCCAGCCGCCGCCGUAA
rnacentral:rRNA from 1 species